rnacentral:tRNA from 1 species
AUUGAUUAAGAAGAAUACUCUUAUAAAUAAAUUUACAAUCUAUCGCCUAAACU